UAUACAGUAGUGGAGGCUGAAGUCCUUUAUUUAAACAUAGAAGAACAGCAGCAGUGCAAGAUGCCCCAGUCUUGCCAAUAUGCCUCAACCCUUUCCUGGAGAGAAUACUUCUAGACAGUAUCCAUGCAUAAUCCUUGGCCUCUGUGCUGAUUCUGCCACUUACAAUA
rnacentral:sRNA from 1 species